GGCGGAACAGUUCGUGGCGGAGUUGCGAGUGCGUUGGUUGUGCGACCUGAAGAACAUCGAGGCGAAACCAAGUCAUAUAGAGAAACCUAAUUGAAUUAUAAAAGAAAGUAAAAACAAAAUC